rnacentral:lncRNA from 1 species
UGACAACCCUAGCUAACUCUCAAUGCUUAACAUAUUUAUGAUAUUUCUCUCCUCUGCUACUUCUAGUUACUCCAUUUUUGCUUACUUUGUAGAAGUUGUUUGACAAUAUUGCUGACAUUUAAGUAUUCUUGUAUAUUUCUUUAUAUUGCCUAGUUUCUGGGAGGUGCAAGGCACUGAGUGACUCAUUGGGACCUGCUGAGUCAUUA